CAGGCCCAGCCCGAUCCACACCCUCAGGCCCAGCCCGAUCCACACCCUCAGGCCCAGCCCGAUCCACACCCUCAGGCCCAGCCCGUCCAGCCCGAUCCACACCCUCAGGCCCAGCCCGAUCCACACCCUCAGGCCCAGCCCGAUCCACACCCUCAGGCCCAGCCCGAUCCACACCCUCAGGCCCAGCCCGUCCAGCCCGAUCCACACCCUCAGGCCCAGCCCGAUCCACACCCUCAGGCCCAGCCCGCCCAGCCCGAUCCAAACCCUCAGGCCCAGGAAAAGGAGAUAUUUUAUAUUUUAGAUUUACACCCUGUCUCUCUCCCUGUGAAGGAACAACCCCCCCCCAAAAAAAGAAAGUGUUGCCGGAAAUGUAGUAGGCAAAAGGUUUUCAAAUAUGACUCCAUAACAGGACGAAGGAUAAAUGAGGGGCAAGAGGAAGUAAGGGUGAAAUGGUUACCUUGCUCUGCAUGUGGAAAAAUCUGGGAGGAAACAUGGGAGCCGGCCUGCCAGUUCUCACCAGGUGCCAACCAUGUGUAAUGUCACACAUUGGUCUGUAAUUCAAUGAGUUGAACCUGCUAUGAGAUGUAAAGUUUGCCGUUUUGGGCCCAGCCAUCCUGCUUGCGGAUGUGACUUACACACGUUCAAUGGUUUCCACCCUAACA